rnacentral:rRNA from 1 species
ACGCUGGCGGCGUGCCUAAUACAUGCAAGUAGAACGCUGAAGAGAGGAGCUUGCUCUUCUUGAAUGAGUUGCGAGCGGGUGAGUAACGCGUAGGUAACCUGCCUUGUAGCGGGGGAUAACUAUUGGAAACGAUAGCUAAUACCGCAUAACAAUGGGUGACACAUGUCAUUUAUUUGAAAGGGGCAAUUGCUCCACUACAAGAUGGACCUGCGUUGUAUUAGCUAGUAGGUGAGGUAACGGCUCACCUAGGCGACGAUACAUAGCCGACCUGAGAGGGUGAUCGGCCACACUGGGACUGAGACACGGCCCAGACUCCUACGGGAGGCAGCAGUAGGGAAUCUUCGGCAAUGGGGGCAACCCUGACCGAGCAACGCCGCGUGAGUGAAGAAGGUUUUCGGAUCGUAAAGCUCUGUUGUAAGUCAAGAACGAGUGUGAGAGUGGAAAGUUCACACUGUGACGGUAGCUUACCAGAAAGGGACGGCUAACUACGUGCCAGCAGCCGCGGUAAUACGUAGGUCCCGAGCGUUGUCCGGAUUUAUUGGGCGUAAAGCGAGCGCAGGCGGUUUGAUAAGUCUGAAGUUAAAGGCUGUGGCUCAACCAUAGUUCGCUUUGGAAACUGUCAAACUUGAGUGCAGAAGGGGAGAGUGGAAUUCCAUGUGUAGCGGUGAAAUGCGUAGAUAUAUGGAGGAACACCGGUGGCGAAAGCGGCUCUCUGGUCUGUAACUGACGCUGAGGCUCGAAAGCGUGGGGAGCGAACAGGAUUAGAUACCCUGGUAGUCCACGCCGUAAACGAUGAGUGCUAGGUGUUGGAUCCUUUCCGGGACUCAGUGCCGCAGCUAACGCAUUAAGCACUCCGCCUGGGGAGUACGACCGCAAGGUUGAAACUCAAAGGAAUUGACGGGGGCCCGCAC